AAGUAUAAGCAAUCUAUACAGUGAAACUGCGAAUGGCUCAUUAAAUCAGUUAUCGUUUAUUUGAUAGUACCUUACUACUUGGAUAACCGUGGUAAUUCUAGAGCUAAUACAUGCUAAAAACCUCGACUUCGGAAGGGGUGUAUUUAUUAGAUAAAAAACCAAUGCCCUUCGGGGCUCCUUGGUGAUUCAUGAUAACUUAACGAAUCGCAUGGCCUUGUGCCGGCGAUGGUUCAUUCAAAUUUCUGCCCUAUCAACUUUCGAUGGUAGGAUAGUGGCCUACCAUGGUUUCAACGGGUAACGGGGAAUUAGGGUUCUAUUCCGGAGAGGGAGCCUGAGAAACGGCUACCACAUCCAAGG
rnacentral:rRNA from 1 species